GGCCCGGUAGCUCAACCCGGCAGAGCGUCGGACUUUUAAUCCGAGCGUUGUGGGUUCGAAUCCCACCCGGGUCACCA
rnacentral:tRNA from 1 species